rnacentral:rRNA from 1 species
GACGAACGCUGGCGGCGUGCUUAACACAUGCAAGUCGAACGAAGAGCGAUGGAAGCUUGCUUCUAUCAAUCUUAGUGGCGAACGGGUGAGUAACGCGUAAUCAACCUGCCCUUCAGAGGGGGACAACAGUUGGAAACGACUGCUAAUACCGCAUACGAUCUAAUCUCGGCAUCGAGGAUAGAUGAAAGGUGGCCUCUACAUGUAAGCUAUCACUGAAGGAGGGGAUUGCGUCUGAUUAGCUAGUUGGAGGGGUAACGGACCACCAAGGCGAUGAUCAGUAGCCGGUCUGAGAGGAGGAACGGCCACAUUGGGACUGAGACACGGCCCAGACUCCUACGGGAGGCAGCAGUGGGGAAUCUUCCGCAAUGGACGAAAGUCUGACGGAGCAACGCCGCGUGAGUGAUGACGGCCUUCGGGUUGUAAAGCUCUGUUAAUCGGGACGAAAGGCCUUCUUGCGAAUAGUGAGAAGGAUUGACGGUACCGGAAUAGAAAGCCACGGCUAACUACGUG